CUGGCGCUGAUUGUACAACCGGGCCCGAAUCGGGGGACACGCAGCAGGCACUGCCCCGGGGGGAGGAGAGGAAAUCGCCGCGAAUUUGCUUGGACACAUGACCAAAAAGAGGAGAAUUUGAAGAGACAACAAGCUUAUCCAUCAGUUCCAAGGAAAACACCAAGUAGGGACCCCAGAGCCACAAAGUUUUCCUGAAUUGAUGUGGAAGGCAUCAGGAGAGAGCUGGGAACAGAAGUGGUCUAUCUCGUCGAGUUCCUGCUGCUGGGCCAGUUAUGGAAAUCAAAUGGUUGGUAAGCUUGAACUACCUUCUGUGACUCAAGGUUGACGACGGCUGCAAAUCCCAUUCCUCAACACCGCGCCCCCCCCCCCCCAACCACCAUGAUUCAACCCACGCCUCUGGAUGGCAGCUCCCCAGCAAAGAUGAUGAAACUGGGCACAGAGAAAAAAGAAGAAACCAGCCACUCUCUCAUGGCCAGGAAAAGAUAUGUGCAUGUCCACCUUCAUGAAUUUUUGUUCCUUCAGACAAGCGACGAAUUAGAAUAACCUAGGACGCCUUCCAGUGGAUGCUCUCAGGCCCCAGGGAGCACAGAAAACAAUUCUGCCCUUCUAAAAAAGAAAAAGAAAAGAAAAAAGAAAAAAUUACAUAGUAAUGUUUCUUCUUCUUACGCAAAAU